GAUGGAGAGAGAAGGGACAGGGACAAAGAGGGCACAAAAGCCGAGAAUAGAAGAGCAAAAGCAAGAGAGAGUAAGAGGGAGAGGAGGGGGCAAGCAACCCCCUUUGUAGUCAGGCACAGCUACUGUUGCCAGGCAACUGUGGGGCGGAGCAUACCUGGCUGUUGCCUGGUAGCUGUGGGGGUGGAGCUUAGACAGAAUACCAACAAUAUGGGUAACGGGCCCACUUUGUCUGGAAAAGAAUAAUCUCCGCACUACGCAAAGGAACACACAAAGUAAAAGGAACUUGGCAAGGCAACUUCCGUUUUUGCAAAAGGGUACACAAGAAGCCAAUCUGGGCUAACGAACUUACCGGCCCCUUUCUUUCCUGAGCUGUGGGUGGUUCUAUGUCUCAUCCCGUUGGUAUCAACUAGUCUUUCCAGUCUGAUGUGAUUGACUGACCUGCACAGAGAGGGAAUGGGAGGUUGUGGUGAUUGGAAUGAAAGUUGUCUGGGGCUGGGGAUUUAGCUCAGUGGUAGAGCGCUUGCCUAGCAAGCACAAGGCCCUGGGUUCGGUCCCCAGCUCUGAAAAAAAAAAAAAAAAAAAAAAAAAGAAAGUUGUCUCAGAGACUCAUACAGAGUGGUAUUGUUAGGAGGUGUGGCCUUGUUGGAGUGGGUGUGGCCUUGUUGGAGAAAGUGUGUCACUAGGGGUAACCUCUGUUGUUGGAGAUUCUCAGGCCAGGCACAGUGUCACGCGCUCGUCCUGCUGCCUUUGGAUUUAGAUAUGAAACUGUCAGCACCAUGUCUGCCUGCGUGCCGCCAUGCUUCCCGCCACGAUGACGCUGGACUGAACCUCUGAACUGGUUGUCUAUUUGGGAGUCUAAACUUGGAAUGUAAAAUUUGAAACAAGAGGAAAAAAUAUUAGUAAGUGAGAGAUGCUUCUUCUCAUGAUGUAUCUGGAUUUAAUCAUAUGCACACUCAAUUAUGCAUAAGCAUAGUAAGGUACUUAGAAGAAGAAGUUUACUUUAUGGUAUAUGUACUACAAACCAGACUAGGUUGUAUCAGCACAUUUCCCAUGGUUCCAAGUUUAUUAGAGGAAGUGCUGGGAAGGAAACAGAUAUUAACAGGAGGUUGCUAAGAAAGAUCUAUGUACUCAAGCCAAGUCAGCAUGGAAUGAAGACCUUCUCAAUGUUAACUUCAAAGCAACCAGAUUUCCAGAAGAAAAAUCUCUACAUUCUGUACGAAACUUCCUCAUUUCUGAAGCUUCCUGGGCACAAUUUUUCUCCUGUUGACAGGGCCCAGCCUGGACCACUCGAAGGCCAGCAGAGAACUUCUCAGUCAAGUCAGGUUGAGUCACAGCCCCACGUAAAGUCUGCUGAGGUCACUGUAGCAGAGCCAGAACAGUUGAAUUGUAUAAGCCACAGAAUUUUAUAUCAGCGCUACUGUGAGGGGAAGCCUAGAUCAAGUCUUACGCACUGAGAAAGGAUGUCAUAUCUGGGCAUUGCCCUUCUCCUUUAGGAGGGCCCGUGUGCCUUUUGUAGGCCCAGGACAUGAGGUCAGGAUGGGAAACGACACAAAAGGACGGCUAGCUGCAAGGCCUCAUGGGAGAAGGAGCAGCGUGAGGAGACCCGGAUGCAGAGCAGCUGUCUCCAGAGCAAUUACAAUUUAGAGGAGAUUGAGAGACCAGGAAAUGAAUCCAAAGGCCAGAAAAUCAAAGCGAAAAGGCAAUGACAUUUCCAGGAAGGACAACGAUACAAGAGGAAGAUUUGGAAUAUCCCAUGCAAAGAUCUCAGUACUCUGGUUGCCUGUUGCUAGUGUUUGGAUGGGGUUUAUGCCCCGAUGAUUUAUUCAUCGACUGCUUGGUUGUUAGUGUGACAAUACUAAGAAGCGACAGACCCUUAGGAGACAGAGCCCGCAGCAAGGUAAUUAGGCCAUCAGGGAACCGAUGCUGUUCUCAUGGAGUGAGUCCUUUCCAGGGAGGUUUGCUUUCUACCCUGCCCUGGGAUUUCUUCCUCUUGCACGUCCUUCUGCCGUGAUAUCAUCUACCAUAACGUGAUGCUGUAGGAGCUCUUGCCACAAUUAAUGCUGUGCUAUGUGGGCCAGGUCAAGCAUGGAGAGAGAAAGAAUUCAGUGCCAAAAGUUUGAUGAGCAGGGUUGACUACCAGUGGGAAAACGUAUCCAGGAACCAAGUCUCCAGAGGCAGAGGUACUGUGAAGUAAGGUUGCAGGACCUCGUUGGUAGAGACGCUUUCCAAAGACCUAUGCCAUACACUGAUGAUGUACCCAUAUGGCGACAUAGUAGACAACAUAGUUCCCCUUGACGUCUUAACUCAGGCGGUUAAAUUUCGUGCUGUCCUUCCAACUUCCCCUCCUUCCUCCUUGCCCGUGUUUCAGGAGGCCCCGAGCAUCCACAGACCUUUGAGGUAUCUAGCUGAGGGGAAUCUGAGUUGGGGAUACAUUUAGACUGACUAAACGGGAUAUUUUCUUAAAGUUCUGACUAGAGUACAUGCAUAGCCUAUCCCUUUGUAAGGGUGCCCUUGGGGGUAUGCAUGCUGACUGCUGAUUUGGCCAGCUUCCUGACAAGGAUUCAGGUCAUAGCAAGAUAAGAGUGAAUUCUUGGGACUGGAGAGAUUGCUCAGUGGGUAAAGCGCUUCCCGUACAAGCCUAAGGACCUAUACUCAGAUCCCCAGAACCCACAUAGGGCUCAAUAUGGUGCAUGUGUCUCUAAAUGUCAGCUCUCCACCAGAGACAGGAGAAGCCCUGGAAACUUGAGGGCCACCUACGCCGGAGCGGUCAGCAAUAAACGCCAAGAAAGCGAACGAGGUGGCCGACGAGAACCAACAUCCAAGGCUGACCUCCGACCUCUUCCACAUGCUUGUAGUAGGAAAUGCUCAUCUGCGUAUCUGUGUGCUCAGGCACACGCACACAGAUGUCUGAACAAACAAAAACAGGGAGAGAGAAUUUUCCAGAACAGUGGAGAAGAAAUAAGUUUUGACAUGCUGGGAUCCAGCCUCAUUUAGGAACAUUCUAUAUUACUCGAGGAAAACUAGAGGAUGCAGUUCAGUCCAGAAUUAAAGUUGUAUCCCAUCAGGAAUGAAUAUGCUAAAUGACAACAUAUUCAGGUUUAGUUCUCCUUGCGUGUUUUUUUUUCCUUUGGUGGCAAUUGUAUGAAACGAAAUUCCUGUGUCAUAGGCGCCAUCCUGAAGCAGGACUGAAAACAGCAUGUCAGUGUGUGAAGUUGGGAGUUUUUCCUUCAGCCUAAUUACCCACGAUAGGAAACACGUUCUAACACUGUGUGCUAGGAGAAGCAUUAAACUGUCUCCUUAAUCUACCCACAGAGAUAUUAUAAAGCUGUUGCUGUAUGAAGACGGGAUCAAAGUAGGCAGUCCAUUUUUUUUUAAAUGUAUUAUACAAAAGUGGGUGGGAAAAAGGAUUUUAAGUAAAAAUAUUGUCACUUUUUAUAGCUUUGGGGAUAUUUAUAGCAUUAGUCACUUUAAAAAAUUUAUAGUCUCAAGUUCUUCUUACAUGCCGAAUACAUAUUCAUGUUGCAUAAAGCUUCAAGUUUGUCUUCUUACAAGACAUUCCUUAGAGAAAGCUCACAAGGCCAAAUACAUGGGAGCUUUAAACUCCAUCUCUGCUUUCUCCCCCUGGCUAAGGAAGGUGAAGCAUGAAGAGAGUUCACGGGCUGCCUCAGAGGAAGAGUUUCCCAGCCACCUCCCUGCACCAGGGUGGGAGACUGUUGGGUGCUUCGCUCUCUCAGAGGAGGGUGGAGGCAACCAUCUGGUAGAUGUUUGUUCUUGAGGUCAAAACAUGGCAACUCACAGGUAAGGCUGUGAAAAUGUCUGUCAUGUCCUCUCCUGGCUGAUAAGUUUUUGAACGGUGAGCAAACUCCCGUUUGAAGCAAUAGAUGGUCUCAGAGCCCCUGGAACCAAAGCAUGCCUUGCUCCCCAGAAAGCGGGGUGACAUGUAAGAUGGCUGAAAGAAGAGAGGCUAUAGAGGGAGUAGAGCUUCUCCACUACUGCAGUGAAAUAGCAGAGGCCACUAGCUCUGUAAAGGGAACCGGUUUGUUUUGCUCAAGAUUUGAAGGUUCAAGUCCAAAACAAGGCAGUCCCCAUGGGUUUAGACUUCUGUCAAAGGCAGCAUAUCCUGGUGGGAGCCGUGUUGAAGAAGGUGCUGAGAUCUUGAGGUAGGAAGCAGACAGAGAGACUGGUCACUGUCAGGACAUGACCUAUGGCUAUCCUGGGUUCCAUUUCUCCAAGGUCUACAGCAUCUCUCAGAUGCUCCAUAGGGAGCAAGCCUUCACAUAUGGGCCUUUAGAGGAAUGCUAACCCAAACUAUAGCAGUCAGUAGAGUUCAUUUUCUACAGUUCUGGAGUGAAGGUACCUCUGCUCCCAUGAUGCAUUUAGCCCAUCAGUGUCCUAAAGGAACUUGGUCUCCCACAGCUUUGAGGUUUGUUGUUUGGAGUUUUGUCAUGGAUGGGCGCACAGUGACCUCCUUCACAGAGGACUGUAACCCAUCACACCUUGACUUCCUUGAGAAUUAACGCCUGGGAACAAAUUCAAAGUAAUUAUCUGGUUAUGAGAUGACAGGAUUAACCUUUAAAGUGGAUGCAAUGACCAUGAUUUACAUAAUCUAUUUAAUCAUUUUUCAGUAGAAUUAAUAUUUAGAAGGCAAGUGGGGAGAAAUAAAUUACAGCUUACAGCUUUCUGUGAAUACCAGGCUCAGCCUCACAAAAGGAUAAAAUUAACAUUAUCGAAGGUAUCGGACAUAUUGGGUGCCUCGAGCAAUAAAUUAGAUUACGGGGUAAUUAACAAUCCUUCCAGAGUCUUUGUGCAGUAUGAAUUCAUCCAGAGAGUAAACAAACAGAGCCACAGCUAAAAGGAGGUUUUAUCCACCAUUCCCCUAGAGAUACAAUCCCUCCCUGAUCUGAUUGGAGGAGAGAUGAGACAUUUGACAGGUCCGUCCGUCCCAUGCACACAGACCAUUUGUUUAAGGCACUAUCUGGAUUGUAACCAGCUGGAGCAAGCUGGAAAAUAGCUGCAGAAAAUUUCAUUCUAACCUGGGUGUGAUUCUUGUCAUUGUCUCCAUUCGGAAUCAUUACAGACAGGCGUCAUCAGUUUCUUCUGUUUCCAAAGACACCAUGGCCUAAGGGGGGAGCGAAUACAGUGGGUGGCUCUCUAGUCCCAGGGAAACCUGGAGCUUUGACAAGUCUAGACACAUCCUCAUGGAUUCAGACUGAACUUUCCAGACCAAAAAAAAAACUGAAAAACUUAAAGAAUAGAACUGGGGUGGGGAGCAGAGGUCAAGAAACCAGCACUUUGCGUUGGUAAAAGCAAUUUGCAUAGAAAUGUCAUUUCCCAUUAAAACAUGGAAAAGCAGAAAAGGGAACUCUGGAGAGAUACAGAAGUCCAGCCAUUAGGAAGGCAGAAUGAGGCAUACAGGAGAAACAAGCUGCUCCUCUGAAACAAAGACAUUGCAGUAUCCUGCUCCAAGCACCGUGUGGCUGAGCAUUGCUUUAGGCCUAGUCUAGUUCCAGUGUCAGCCCAGAGUCACUUAACUAAGCAAGUCACUUAACCUCUCUUGCCUCAGUUUUUCCAUCUGUGAAAUGGAGAGCUUGGUACGAUCUACCUCACAGGGUUAAAGGGGUGACGAAACGCAUUAAUAUAUGGUAAAAGGCGUUGGGCAGCAUGCGUGACACUCAGUGAGAACUCCAUAGAGCUCAGUUUUAUUCUGAUGUACACCUAACGCCUUUUCACCCAAAUCAGCUCGCGUUUGUACUUUCCUGUAAGAAAAGCCCACAGUCGGGGCUGGGGAUUUAGCUCAGUGGUAGAGCGCUUACCUAGGAAGCGCAAGGCCCUGGGUUCGGUCCCCAGCUCCGAAAAAAAGAACCAAAAAAAAAAAAAAAAAAAAAAAAAAAAAGAAAAGCCCACAGUCGCAGAGCAUUACAACAGCUGGACAGGUAAGCUAGGUCAACUGCGAAAGAGCAUGGAGGACAACGCUAAGCCAGAGAAUCAGGUUGCAAGUUGCUGCCCUGACAGUUGCAUGCUGGGUAAAAAAGGAGAAGCAUAUUGAUAAGCUGUACAAGGCAACCGUCAUGGAAGCAAUCCGAAGGUGACGGCGUUCUCUCAGAAGUUGCCUGAGGCUUCGGUCUACACCUAAUAAGAAACUUGAGACUAUCAAAAGUGGCUCCACUUUCCUCCUCGGGCGAAAUUGUCUCAGAUAAGCAGAGAUUGCCGGUUAGGGUCACACUCGGUGCUCAGGGGCUCUCGGAAAACAUUCUGCCAAAGUGACGGAUCUACUUGUUUCGUGGCUCGUCUUCAGCUCCUCACAAAAGCCUUUUCAAGGGAGAAAGAUGGUCCAAUCUCUUUGAGUGCAGCCUGCUGAACAUUUUUCCUCAAAAAAAUAUGUCCCUAUUAUCUUUUCUCCAACUCAGCCCAGAGCAUUUUCAGAGACACCGGUGAAGUCAGCCUACUCCAUAAAUUACACAGAGAAAGUCUUCAUCAAACUCUUUCACUUUUCACUCCCUGAAUCUAAGUGGAGAGAGAAGACUGCAAGUCUCGUGCCUUAUAAGGAGCACUAGAGGACUGGAAAUUGAACGGGAAGUGGGGAGGUGGGUGGGGCGGAGGGAGCUACGGUCCGGACAAUGGCUUCCUAGGUUCCCAGCUCCAUCAGAAGUCCUCUUUGCGAGUGUAAUAAUGAUGAGGUGAACCACAGGGCUUAUAACAGUGAGGGGUCUGUGUGCCAAGCACUGUGAGAAAGCCCUGCGUCACCAGUGUCUGGGGCUUCAGCUCUGCAUGAUAAAUUGCAAUAUUUCCCAUAUUUUAUAGAUGCAUGCGUGAUCUUAGAAAAUCUAAGCAGUUUGUACAAGAUUACAGUGUUGGUAAACAUCAGAGGUAGGCAAGAGUCACCUUCUUUUUACGAAGCUGUGUGGCUUCUGUCUGCUGAUUGACUUCUAGACCUCUGUAGUCUUCUUCAAAUCACUAAGACAUCUCCUCUCUUUUAUGAAUAAGACAACUGACUGCUUGUGGUUUGGGCAGAGUCUUCCCCAGAGGGUGUAUCAGGAUGGGAUGAGAAUUAACAGACAGGUUAAUUUUUAAGAAAUAAAGUUUAAGUUUGAAGAAAUAAAGUCCAUUCUUAGUCUUCUUAAAAACAAAUAAGAAACAGGAAACUGAAGAUUCUAAGCUGCGAGGGAGAGGGAUGGUUGUGUCUGCAUAAAGGGAGCUGGAGAGACAUGAUGCUCCUUUAUUCCCCCACAGCGCCUACAGAAAAGAUGAGCAGAGGCCAGGCCAGAAGAGACUCCACAGCUAUUUAUUCUCAAAAGAAAGAGCACUCGACGAGAUUCAUCGUCUUGCCACUAGCAAUCUUCUAAAGCAUUCACACAUGAGAUCUUGCAGACAGGACAAGGACAAAUCAAUGAGGCCCAGGGCGUUUGAAACUGUCACAUCUCGCAAAUCUGUGCUAGGUCACUGUCUGCCAAUGCAGAAUCUCUCACUGGCUCUCGGCUUGGCGUUCUGUGCUCUAACAAAGUAUGACGCACCAUCAGCAACUACACAGGGCUCCCAAGAGCCAACAUGUUGCAAAUGGAAUGGACAAGACCCACUGGGCAGUCAACAUUCGUUCUUUAAGAAGACAGCUCCAUUUCCAUGCUCCGAUGCGGGCAGUACUGGGUAUUUUUCAUUGUUUCUUGGCUGAGGGGAAGGAGGCUUCUUCUUAUCAAAAGUUAAAUCUCCAGUUGUCAUUCAAGGACCAGAAUACAAUUAACAAAUUGCAGGUGACAUUGUUCAGUCCAUCUGUGUCUGGAAGAGAUGUUUCUUCUGGGAACUAGAUGUGGAAAUACAAAUCAUAAGGGAGAAAUGGGUUUCAUUUAGUGAGGCCUUAAACAGACUGCCCCGGAUGCUACAGUUGUUUCUACCAACUCUUUAGGUGUGUUCAACUUGACACUCAAGCUAGAGUCAUCAGAGAGGAGAGCGCCUCAACUGAGAAAAUGCCUCCAUGAGAUCCAGCUAUAAGGCAUUUUUCUCAAUCGGUGAUCAAUGGGGGAGGGCCUAACCCAUGGGGGGGUGGUACCAUCCCUGGGCUGGUGGUCCUGGGUUCUGUAAGAAAGCAAGCUGAGCAAGC